rnacentral:lncRNA from 1 species
AACAAACUGAAUAUUAGCCUGUCUGAACUGCUAAAUAUGCUUAAAAUAGUAGAGAGUCAUUUCAAGAGUGAAGAGAUUCUAGUUCUUCUCAUAGAUAAGAUCUUUAAAAAAAAAGGCAAGAAGGAUUUUAAGAAAAAGAUGAACCCUAAGACUAGCAUCUUAAAGAUGAAGGUGAAGAAGGUCUUCACCAAAGGUACUUGCUAUCAUUGC